AUUGAACGCUGGCGGCAUGCCUUACACAUGCAAGUCGAACGGCAGCACGGGUGCUUGCACCUGGUGGCGAGUGGCGAACGGGUGAGUAAUACAUCGGAACAUGUCCUGUAGUGGGGGAUAGCCCGGCGAAAGCCGGAUUAAUACCGCAUACGAUCUACGGAUGAAAGCGGGGGACCUUCGGGCCUCGCGCUAUAGGGUUGGCCGAUGGCUGAUUAGCUAGUUGGUGGGGUAAAGGCCUACCAAGGCGACGAUCAGUAGCUGGUCUGAGAGGACGACCAGCCACACUGGGACUGAGACACGGCCCAGACUCGUACGGGAGGCAGCAGUGGGGAAUUUUGGACAAUGGGCGAAAGCCUGAUCCAGCAAUGCCGCGUGUGUGAAGAAGGCCUUCGGGUUGUAAAGCACUUUUGUCCGGAAAGAAAUCCUUGGCCCUAAUACGGUCGGGGGAUGACGGUACCGGAAGAAUAAGCACCGGCUAACUACGUG
rnacentral:rRNA from 1 species